GCUCCGGCCUCCUCGCUGGGUUUGCUGCUGUUGCUAUUGCUGGUCAUCGCCGUCCAUCUCACAUCACUGCCUUGUCUUAUAAGCCACGUCUGCUCAACCUGCCCACAACCAGCCACAUGGAGAAACCACAGGGCACGUCUGGGUCCCCAGUAGCCAUGUUUGCUACCUAGUCACAAUCUUGUCAGGCCAAGCUACACACACGCUGCUGCUGUGACUGGAGGCUUCUAAGACAAAGAACACGUUGUUCUCUUUUGCCUGUUGAUGAUGCCAGAGUCCACAUUGACUGUCAAUGUGUUGGAACUUUCUGGGAUUAUACAUAGAUCCCUUUGAUUGCAUCAAAAUGUGUCCCCUUGAUUUGUCUGGACUACAAUCGAUGGCAAAUUGCCUAAAAUCUGCCAU